CCAAUAGCGUAUAUUAAAGUUGUUGCAGUUAAAAAGCUCGUAGUUGAAUUUCGGGGUCAGUAGGUCGGUCAUGCCACUGGUAUGUACUGGUCUCACUGAUUCCUCCUUCCUGAUGAACCGUAAUGCCAUUAAUUUGGUGUUGCGGGGAGACUGGACUGUUACUUUGAAAAAAUUAGAGUGUUUAAAGCAGGCUAACGCUUGAAUACAUUAGCAUGGAAUAACGGAAUAGGACGUUCGAUCUUAUUUUGUUGGUUUCUAAGAUUGACGUAAUGAUUAAUAGGGAUAGUUGGGGGCAUUAGUAUUCAAUUGUCAGAGGUGAAAUUCUUGGAUUUAUUGAAGACUAACUACUGCGAAAGCAUUUGCCAAGGAUGUUUUCAUUAAUCAAGAACGAAAGUUAGGGGAUCGAAGACGAUCAGAUACCGUCGUAGUCUUAACCAUAAACUAUGCCGACUAGGGAUCGGAUGAUGUUAAUUUUUUAAUGACUCAUUCGGCGCCUUACG
rnacentral:rRNA from 1 species